UGCACCUGUGUAAUGAUCAUGUUGUUUAAUCAGCUUCUUGAUAUGCCACAACUGUCAGGUGGAUCGAUAAUCUUGGCAAAGGAGAAAUGUGCACUAAUAGGAAUGUAAAUUUAAUGUGUGCACAUCAUUUUAGAGAAAUAAGCCUUUUGUGCAUAUGGAACAUUUCUGGAAUCUUUUAUUUCAGCUCGUGAAACAUGGGUACAACAAUUUACAUGUUGCAUUUAUAUUUUUGUUUAGUGUAUAUGACUUGGGGGCAUAAUGCAAUAACUUAAGAAUCAUGGGACUGCAAAGUGCGCACGUAAGCGACUCAACUAUCGGAAGCUGCACAGGUGGGCGACUGCAGUAUUGAGAGUGUGGCCAAUGGCCAUUUGACAAGGUCAAUCGGUUCAUGGGUAGAAAAGUUGGUACGGUAACUCCUGGAAAAGUGGAUAAAGCAAUUGCUUUAAUAAAGUUGUAGGGUUCUGUUGCACACUAUUUUAACUCUACAACAAACAGCCUAUUAGUUUUGUAAGGACAUACAGAAAGAAUUGCGAUAGUAAUGACAAGGAGACUCCCGUCGCAGAAAUAGGUUGAGCAGACGCAACAACGGAAGAUCCCGGAAGCUCAUUUACCUCCAAACGGUGGCAAUCGUCACUUCUCGCUGACAAGCCUUCUCCAGUUCUUCAUCAACCUUAACGGCGGUAUUUCAAUGGAUGAUGGGUUGUUUGUGGACCACGACUUUCCAAUGGGAGAUGUGUUUCUUCAACCCGCGAUGGAAUGGAGACGCCCAAAGCUGUUAGAGAGGGUGGUGCCCAUGGGACAGAGCUUCCAGGAAAGUUACAAUGACAGCUUUUACUUCCAGUUUCCUCACAGUGUCUGUCUGUCCAGAGGCCUGAGUGGAAUCAUGUCCGUGAGGAGGAACAGAAGCAUCUGGACAGGGUUCAGAAGGAGGACGGGGCGUUCCGACUUCCGUCAGAACUUUGACGCGGUGGAGGUGGUUCACCUGAGUGAGGAGACCCUGAGCGAGCCAGGCGCCACACAGAGACCAUGGAACUGCACAAAGUUCUGACGGAAGUCUGACACCACCAUCCUGAGGGAGAGAAGGGGGAAGAAAGAGAGAGGGGGAGAACUGGGUACCACACAUCUCCACCAGGGGUUUUCCCAGAGGGGGCUGGUUCUGACAGAACUCUCAGUUCCACUUGACCCUGCUGGAGGAGGACAAUGACCCCAGUGACCUUGAGCUGACCUGUUCCUUCCUGGUGGCCCUCAUGCAGAAGCACCAGAGACUUAGAGGAGUCCACCUGGGCAUCGGCCUGGAUAUCUACAAGGUACACCUGCACAGGAACGUAUGCACACAUACACAAACACACCCAACAGGAAAUACAACCAGAGUAGAUUUAAAUGAGCCACAGUAAAUGUGAGAGAGAAAAGAAGAGAGGAACAAGUGAGGGAAAAUUUGAGUGUGGCAGCAUAUUUCUCAGUGUGGAAAUGUGUGCACACCCUACGGUAUCUAACCCUCUCUUCCCAGGCAUGCUCAGAGUGUGCUUACCUGUCCUCUCUGGACCUGAGCUUGCUCCGCCCACUCAUCAGCACCCGGAGGUGGUGAUUCGCGGUCGCCUGGCGCCCGGCCAUUAUAUCAUCAUCCCCUCCACCCCGGAGACCAAUCAGCAGGGAGAGUUAAUUCUGUGGGUGUUGACAAGAAAGUGACUGGACCAGUCCAUGACUAGAGGUUGGAGGAAGAGUUACCUAUGAUAUAUGUUAAAGUAUCAGGGCACACAGUCAAGAAAAGGAUCUCUAAAUUACACUGAGUUUACAAAACACCCGCACUUUCCAUGGCAUAGACUGACCCGGUGAAUCAAGGUGAAAGCUAUGAUCCCUUAUUGAUGUGACUUGUUAAAUCCACUUCAAUCAGUGUAGACGAAGUGGGGGAGACAGUUUAAAGAAGGAUUUUUAAGCCUUGGGACAAUUGAGAAAGUGUGUCAUUCAGGGGGUGAAAGGGCAAGACAAAAUAUUGAAGUGCCACCGGUUUGUGUGUCAAGAACUGCUUCACUGCUAGGUUUUUCACACUCAACAGUUUCCCGUGUGUAUCAAGAAUGGUCCACCUCCCAAAGGACAUCCAGCCAACAUGACAACUGUGAGAAGCAUUAAAGUCAAUAUGGGCCAGCAUCCUUGUGGAACGCUUUCGACACCUUGUAGAGUCCAUGCCCCGACGAAAUAAAGCUGUUUUGAGGGCAAUAGGGGGUGUGUAACUCAAUAUUAGGAGAAGCCCGGCACUGAUAGAAGCCCCACAGGUAGAAGUCAUGGCAUGCUAUUGAAGUCCAAAGUAUCCACAAUCCAUCACCCCCUGUUGAGUGUUUGUGAUGUGACUAAAUGGUCCUGUGUGUUUCACUGUGGAUCUCCCUGUUGCUGACCUCUUUUCCACGCCUCUCGGCUCUGCCCUCUCCUGAAGCCACACGCCAGAUCUUUAAGAAGCACUGCAACAAGGUGAGAACACCACCUCCAUGUAGUAGGUUUCAUGUAAACUCUUCUAUUCUAGCCUGAGAUAUGCAAUAUUUACUCUCCAAACUUUUUUCUAACCUCCCAACGGAAGGGGAGUGUCGACCUUUGGAGCUUCUCAACCCGCUAACAGAGGCCAUAAAAUGCGGAGGUAAGGGUUUGGCUCCAAACAUGGACAACUAUCUUCCCUCAAAAAUGGGAGCAAAGACACACCUUUUGUGUACACACCUCCCCUUUACAACAUUGCCUCGCCCACAUGCAUCUGGGAAAUUCUGGAAAACUGUACGAAUCCCUCUACUGAUUUAGUAGUCUUCCAUAAGCCAUAACCACUGUGGGAACAUUCAGGAAGUAGUGAUGUCACCGCAGGAGGACAUUUUAACUUUUCCUAACUGAUGUUUUGUCUGUGUGGCUUCCUGCUCUCUUCCUGGACUGUGGCCUGCAGUGCGGGAGGGGAGCAAAAUAAGCUAGUCCUGGAGCACUGCAAGAGCUUUGUGGUCCUCAUGGAUGUAUCCUUUCUCUUGGGGAAAGAAAUACAUGUAUGGCUGAACCAGUGUGCAUCAUGUCUCAGCAUGGCUGCAUGGUUAGUAGUUGAUAUAGAUCAAUAACCAUGUUAAUAUAGGUUAAAUGUAUGCCAGAUUCUGGUGUAGCAGUCUAAGCUCAUAUGUUCCCCCUGGCGAUGGGGUCCGAGCCUCGGCUUGGCCGAUUGUUUGAAGAUCAUAGCCCCCCCCCCAAAAAAAAGGGCUAUGUAAUGUGUAACGUUACACACAUGCCAUGUAUGUACAUAGACAUACAAAGGUAGGGUAGCUUGUCCACCAUGACCUCACUUGGUCUGCUAAUCUACCAAGACCUUAAUUUUUUGAUGGACCAUUUUCUUGACUGCAGUGUCAACCCAGAGUUGGGGGUUAGCUCAGCUAGACUGGCAGGGGUUCCAGGCACUCUGGGACAAGAUCAGGAAAUGGAAAUGGACAAUAAGGUCUAAACCAUACUAAACCGUCUGUCAGUGGAAGGUUUACAGUUUCAAUCAUUCUGUUCUUUCAAAAUGAUGAGAGGAUUGGACAGUAGUUUGAUUGGCUAAAGCAGGCUUUGUGUCUUGGAAGUCUAAUUUGGAUUGGCUAAAGGAAAUAUUAUAGUGACUUGUGACUUCUGAUUCAAUCAUGUGUCACUGAGCUAAUUCAAUCACACGACCUGUUGCGAUGCAUGUGAAGUGAUUGAAUUAUAUUUGUCUGAAAAGAUUAUUCAGUCAUGCUGGUCUUGAUCUUCCACUUAACAAAAGGAUAUAUUCAUGACAUUUGACAAUAACAAACCCCAGUUGCUGGAGUACCCUGAAGUCUCACCUGCAUUGAAAGCUGCAGGUAGGACACACUUAUGAUAUGACAAGCUUCCAUUGGUGCCUUUUAGGGGGCACCAAAACACCACUCUUCAUGUUCAGUCCCUAUUGGUCCAUAUGAACAGUAUGCCAACAGCAUUUACACUGCUGAAACAGCAGGGGAUGUGGUUGAACAUGAAUUGAUCUGUUUUCGCCUGGUCUGGUCUAGGCAUGGUGGUGGAUGACUUCGUCCUGCAGCUGAUUGUCAUGUCUGGCCUGCGCUACACGGAGCCAAUCAGUUACCCCGGUUUCCUUUUCCUGCUGAUGGAACUGGACAACAUGAUCCAUACAUUUCAAGACUAUGUAUGACAUUGUGGGAAUGGGGACCAUAUCAGUCAGCUACAGACAGUGGCUCCACAUGACGAUGUACAACUGACGAUGGCUCCACAUGACGAUGUACAGUACAACUGACCCGAUGUGCAACUGAUCCAAUCUCACUGAAUUUCAGCCCCUCCUCUGCCUGUUCAACUGGUUUUUGUUGCAAUAUUGUUUUAAAUGAAAAGUUACAGUAGAUUUACUUUGCAAUAAAUCAAAUCAAAUCAA